rnacentral:rRNA from 1 species
UUGGCGGACGGGUGAGAACGCGUGGGUAACCUGCCCUGUACACACGGAUAACAUACCGAGAGGUAUGCUAAUACGAGAUAAUAUGCUUUUAUCGCAUGGUAGAAGUAUCAAAGCUCCGGCGGUACAGGAUGGACCCGCGUCUGAUUAGCUAGUUGGUAAGGUAACGGCUUACCAAGGCGACGAUCAGUAGCCGACCUGAGAGGGUGAUCGGCCACAUUGGAACUGAGACACGGUCCAAACUCCUACGGGAGGCAGCAGUGGGGAAUAUUGCACAAUGGGCGAAAGCCUGAUGCAGCAACGCCGCGUGAAGGAUGAAGGCCUUUGGGUCGUAAACUUCUGUCCUUGGGGAAGAAAAAAAUGACGGUACCCCUGGAGGAAGCACCGGCUAACUCCGUGCCAGCAGCCGCGGUAAU